GUGCCAGCCCGCCGCGGUAAUACCGGCAGCCCGAGUGAUGACCGAUCUUAUUGGGCCUAAAGCGUCCGUAGCCGGCCAGACAAGUCCGUUGGGAAAUCCACGCGCUCAACGCGUGGGCGUCCAGCGGAAACUGCCUGGCUUGGGGCCGGAAGACUCGAGGGGUACGUCUGGGGUAGGAGUGAAAUCCUGUAAUCCUGGACGGACCACCGAUGGCGAAAGCACUUCGAGAAAACGGAUCCGACAGUGAGGGACGAAAGCCAGGGUCUCCAACCGGAUUAGAAACCCCGGUAGUCC
rnacentral:rRNA from 1 species